rnacentral:rRNA from 1 species
GGGGAAUCUUCCGCAAUGGACGAAAGUCUGACGGAGCAACGCCGCGUGAGUGAUGACGGCCUUCGGGUUGUAAAGCUCUGUUAAUCGGGACGAAUGGUUCUUGUGCGAAUAGUGCGAGGAUUUGACGGUACCGGAAUAGAAAGCCACGGCUAACUACGUGCCAGCAGCCGCGGUAAUACGUAGGUGGCAAGCGUUGUCCGGAAUUAUUGGGCGUAAAGCGCGCGCAGGCGGAUUGGUCAGUCUGUCUUAAAAGUUCGGGGCUUAACCCCGUGAUGGGAUGGAAACUGCCAAUCUAGAGUAUCGGAGAGGAAAGUGGAAUUCCUAGUGUAGCGGUGAAAUGCGUAGAUAUUAGGAAGAACACCAGUGGCGAAGGCGACUUUCUGGACGAAAACUGACGCUGAGGCGCGAAAGCCAGGGGAGCGAACGGGAUUAGAUACCCCGGUAGUCCUGGCCGUAAACGAUGGGUACUAGGUGUAGGAGGUAUCGACCCCUUCUGUGCCGGAGUUAACGCAAUAAGUACCCCGCCUGGGGAGUACGACCGCAAGGUUG